GCCAUUUCGCCAGUUACGGCAUCAUCAGUGGCAAAAUUAAUAGCAUUAAUUUUGUCACUGAUGAUGCCAUGACUGGCGAAAUGGC
rnacentral:miRNA from 1 species